rnacentral:rRNA from 1 species
AGAACGAACGCUGGCGGCAGGCUUAACGCAUGCAAGUCGAACGGUUGUAGCAAUACAGCAGUGGCAGACGGGUGAGUAACACGUGGGAACCUUCCUAGGGGUACGGAACAACUCAGGGAAACUUGAGCUAAUACCGUAUACGUCCGUAAGGAGAAAGAUUCAUCGCCCCUAGACGGGCCCGCGUAGGAUUAGGUAGUUGGUGAGGUGACGGCUCACCAAGCCUACGAUCCUUAGCUGAUCUGAGAGGAUGAUCAGCCACACUGGGACUGAGACACGGCCCAGACUCCUACGGGAGCAGCAGUGGGGAAUCUUGGACAAUGGGCGCAAGCCUGAUCCAGCCAUGCCGCGUGAGUGAAGAAGGCCUUGGUUGUAAGCUCUUUACAGGGACGAUAAUGACGGUACCUGGAGAAUAAGCCCCGGACAACGUUCGUGCCAGCAGCCGAC